ACAGGGAUUGCCCUAGUAACGGCGAGUGAAGCGGCAACAGCUCAAAUUUGAAAUCUGGCUCUUUUAGAGUCCGAGUUGUAAUUUGCAGAGGGCGCUUUGGCUUUGGCAGCGGUCCAAGUUCCUUGGAACAGGACGUCACAGAGGGUGAGAAUCCCGUACGUGGUCGCUGGCUAUUGCCGUGUAAAGCCCCUUCGACGAGUCGAGUUGUUUGGGAAUGCAGCUCUAAAUGGGAGGUACAUUUCUUCUAAAGCUAAAUAUUGGCCAGAGACCGAUAGCGCACAAGUAGAGUGAUCGAAAGAUGAAAAGCACUUUGGAAAGAGAGUCAAACAGCACGUGAAAUUGUUGAAAGGGAAGCGCUUGCAGCCAGACUUGCUUGCAGUUGCUCAUCCGGGCUUUUGCCCGGUGCACUCUUCUGCAGGCAGGCCAGCAUCAGUUUGGGCGGUAGGAUAAAGGUCUCUGUCACGUACCUCUCUUCGGGGAGGCCUUAUAGGGGAGACGACAUACUACCAGCCUGGACUGAGGUCCGCGCAUCUGCUAGGAUGCUGGCGUAAUGGCUGUAAGCGGCCCGUCUUGAAACACGGACCAAGGAGUCUAACAUCUAUGCGAGUGUUUGGGUGUCAAGCCCGAGCGCGUAAUGAAAGUGAACGGAGGUGGGAACCCGCAAGGGUGCACCAUCGACCGAUCCUGAUGUCUUCGGAAGGAUUUGAGUAAGAGCAUGGCUGUUGGGACCCGAAAGAUGGUGAACUAUGCUUGAAUAGGGUGAAGCCAGAGGAAACUCUGGUGGAGGCUCGCAGCGGUUCUGACGUGCAAAUCGAUCGUCAAAUUUGGGCAUAGGGGCGAAAGACUAAU
rnacentral:rRNA from 1 species